GAUAAAACUGCUGUCCCAGGUACUGUCUGGCCCAGUUCUCCGAUCGAACGUUCCACAUCCCAACAUUGUCUAGAGGCAGGUAUAUUGCAGUCCAGGAGUUCGGAUACACCUGAACAGUGCAACGCGCAAUAGCAUCCCUCAGAUUGUAAUUGUCCCUAGACGAGGAUGACCAUGCUCCUCCAUCCAUUCCAACGACCCAGAAGGAAUAGCCAUCCAAGUGCCAGGACUGCACGCUGUCCUCAAAAUUCUCAAAGACAAUUUCAAUAUAAGCUCGAAAAUCAGCAGCCAUAACAGAGGU
rnacentral:misc_RNA from 1 species